rnacentral:rRNA from 1 species
GAUGAACGCUGGCGGCGUGCUUAACACAUGCAAGUCGAACGGUGAAGCAGGAGCUUGCUCCUGUGGAUCAGUGGCGAACGGGUGAGUAACACGUGAGCAAUCUGCCCUGGACUCUGGGAUAAGCGUUGGAAACGACGUCUAAUACCGGAUACGAGGCGUGGGGGCAUCCCCAACGCCUGGAAAGAACUUCGGUCCAGGAUGAGCUCGCGGCCUAUCAGCUAGUUGGUGAGGUAACGGCUCACCAAGGCGACGACGGGUAGCCGGCCUGAGAGGGUGACCGGCCACGCUGGGACUGAGACAUGGCCCAGACUCCUACGGGAGGCAGCAGUGGGGAAUAUUGCACAAUGGGCGCAAGCCUGAUGCAGCAACGCCGCGUGAGGGACGACGGCCUUCGGGUUGUAAACCUCUUUUAGCAGGGAAGAAGCGAAAGUGACGGUACCUGCAGAAAAAGCACCGGCUAACUACGUGCCAGCCGCCGCGGUAAGAC